rnacentral:lncRNA from 1 species
CUGGAUUCGGCAUGAGGCAAUCCCCAUUUCUGGUUGGGUUCUGGCCACAACUCCUGUUGCCCACAUUGCCUCUGGUGCUAAUUUGGUGAGGCCCCUAGUGAGCCACUGACCUUGCCAGGCCUCAGUUUGCCCCCGGGUGGUCCCACCAGGCUACAAAUACCACUGACAAGUAUGUUGUAAGAACAGUGAGAUGCCAUCUGCAGAGUGUGAGAUGCAGGUCUUUCCCUGUAAUAUUUUUAGCUCUGGUGCUUUGAAUCCCUCCCAACCCCACGGCUGAAGUGUGUGCAAUGCUUGUGGGUUGUCACACACGUUAAUUACCUGGCGAAGGCUAGCGACUACCACUUACUUUGGCUCGAUAACUUUAAAGAAAAGGCCUUUAUUCUCGUCGCAGUUAAAUGCAACAGCACAAAGCCGGAGAAAAUGAAAAGGAAAAUAGCUCAAGCCAAAGAAUAAAUGACAUUUCAGAAAAAGCAAAAGAGGCAGAUAUCAAGACCAAUUGUAAUUUAAAGUGACAAUCCAUAUGGUGACAUAAUUGCUGACUUCUGGUUUGUUUCAGGUCAGAAAGAGGCAGGUAUACACCAAGCCAGACAGGAGGUUCUGUGGCAGGGGGCAAAGGAUAUGACCUUGGGCAAUCUUUUAGCCUCUCUGUGCCUCAGUUUUCUCAUCCAUAAAUGGGAUGAUAAUAAUAAUGUCUCACUUGAAACUGAUGAUAAGAGAACAUGGAUUCGAAUGCACAGUUUCUAACAGAUGCACCAAAACUGGAGCCACAAUGAUUAGAGUCUGAGUAGAGAAAGCAACAAGGAGUUAUAGAAUGGAGAGGUGCUUCGGAGUUCCCAUCAUGGCAGUGGAAACAAAUCUGACUCGCAUCCAUGAGGAUGCAGAUUUGAUCCCUGGCCUCGCUCAGUGGACUAAGGAUCCGAUGUUGCCAUGAGCUGUGGUGUAGGUCGAAGAUGUGGCUCGGAUCCCGAGUUGCUGUGGCUGUGGUGUAGGCCGGCGGCUACAGCUCUGAUGAGACCCCUAGCCUGGGGACGUCCAUAUGCCGCAGGAGCGGCCCUAAAAAAGGCAAAAAGACAAUUAAAAAAAAAAAAAAAAGAAUUCCUCACUUUACAAUAUCCAAAGCCUCACUCACUCAUCAAGUAUUUUAUUAUGUACCAGGGAUCCAGAAGUGAACAAAACAAAGGCCCCGCUCGACUGAAUCUAACAUUCUAGUGGAGGGAGCCGACAGUCCAGAAGUAAACACGCCACCAGUGUAAGGUAGUGCUGGAUGUAGGUGCUCUGACAACGACAGAGCAGAUGAGGACUGGUGCCUGCCUGCGAAAGAGCCGGGUAGUGGGUGGUUCCUAUUCCACAGAGUGAUCAGUUGACAUCUAAUGAGGGGACGGACAUCUGAGCCUGCAGGAAGUGGGAGUAAGAAGGUCCAAGCAGAGGGGAAGAGUUCCAGGUAGAGCAGACAGCCAGUGCAAAGGUACUGGGGCUGACACUGAGAGACCCGAUUCCCUACAAUCUUAAAAAAAUGUAACCAUAUACAUUUCAUGAAAUAACAUUAAAACAUUUAAACAUGGUAAAACGCUUGCUGCUAAGCGAAAAUAUUUUAUUUUACCUGAUUUUGUUACAGCUGAAUUACAGCUCCCUCUUGAGAAGGGAAUGGAGGGGCAUCUCUCUGAGCUUCAGCGAGUUCACCUAUUCCACCCCUAGCCUGGGAACUGCCAUAUGCUACGGGUGCCGCCAUAAAACGCAAAAAAAAAAAAAAAGAGAACUGUGUGCCUAUUCCUCUGACUUGGAGAUCAAAGUGACACCAUGAAAAUGAAAGUUGUUCUGCUUCUGGUUUCAUUUCCUACCACAAGUCUGACCGUGAUUUCUUUCUUUCUUUUUUUUUUUAAGAACACAAAUCAGAUAUCACCUCCUGCUUAAAACUCUCCAAAGUCUCCCUGCUGCCUAAAGAAUAAGUGUUAGGCACCUGAAAACGACUUAAGGGGCCCCUGACUACCUGUAUUUUUUACACAGUCCCCCCACCAUGCUCAGUCGGAAGCUGUCAGCGCUUCUCCGGCUCUCGGCUCAGCUGCCCUCUGCCUACGGGUCCUCCUCCUCCUCGUCAAGCCUCAGCACCUGGCGGCCAGCACCUUGGGGGGUAAUGGCCCCAGAUCGGUGCCCCGCUGGCGCUCAGGUAGAUAAUGCGCCUAUUUCUAAGCCUCUAAAGCGCUUUUCAGAC